rnacentral:rRNA from 1 species
GACGAACGCUGGCGGCGUGCCUAACACAUGCAAGUCGAGCGAAAAGACGCUGAGCUUGCUCCUUGCUCGUUAGCGGCGGACGGGUGAGUAACACGUGGAUCACCUACCUAUCAGUCUGGUAUCAUUUCGGGACACCGGAUCUAAUCCCAGAUAAUAUAUUGAACCGCAUGGUUCGAUAGUGAAAGUCGGCUUUGCGGGCGGUUGGGGCGGGUUCCGCGCCGUUUGGGCUGGUAGGUGGGGACCAGGCUUACCAAGGCAACGACGGGUAGCCGGCAUGAGAGGGUGACCGGCCACAUUGGGACUGAGAUACGGCCCAGACUCCUACGGGAGGCAGCAGUGGGGAAUAUUGCACAAUGGGCGGAAGCCUGAUGCAGCAACGCCGCGUGCGGGAUGACGGCCUUCGGGUUGUAAACCGCUUUCGCCUGUGACGAAGCGUGAGUGACGGUAAUGGGUAAAGAAGCACCGGCUAACUACGUG